GGGCUCCGAAAGGAGAGCGUGGUGUCUGGAGGUGAUCGGAAGGGACUGGCUGGAGUGUGGCGGGCUGACAGGUCUGAGGCCUGAAGGACUUCCGGGAACCGCAAAGCACGGUGUGCCUCCGCUGUCCUGAAGAAAAAGCCGCGCGCGGACGACUGGCCGGCCCGCGCUUGCAGCUCCCAGAAGUUGACAGGCAUCCUCCGGUGACCGGUGUGAGUAUGGCAUCAGGAUGAUUUGACUGCAAGCAACAGAAAAAUCAAACAAAAAUGGCCUAAGCCAAGAAGAGAAAUGAUUAUUUCACAUUCCAAGAAGUUUGGGAGUCGAGUGGUUAAACGGCUAAUUAAUCUAGAGCUCAACAGUAUCACCCAGGACCCAUUUUCACUAUGGUGGCUAAAGCUCUGCACCCUUCAGGCUUGCACCAUGGCAGCAGCAGUGACAGUAAAGACACCCUUACACCACAAUGCUCCAUGACCAGGGAGAGGGUCUCCUCUCUCCUGCCCCUUUCUGGAGGCUCCACCGAAGAUUUCUCUUCACAUUCCGUUUCUCAUUCCUGAAGCAGUUGCUGGCAACAGGGAUGGACUUACCGCAAUGGGUACAGAGCAACUAAGAUUCACCACUAGUGAACCAUUUAGGGAUGGCCACGUGACUCAGUUCUGGUCACCAAGGUGGUGGAAGAGAAGUUCUCUUGAGGGGCAUCUGGGAAAGAUUCUUCUGCCUGAUAAAACAGGAGGUAAGCAAGGGUUCUGCUCCCCCAUUUGUUUCUGCCUUUGAACGUGGCUGUGGGAAGACAUGAUGCUUAGUGUUGCUGCAGCUAUCUCAUGACCUUGGGCAAAACAUCCCAACACACAGGAGGGCCAAACAAGCAGUCAGAAGAAGCCUGAGUCUUGUGGGUGUUGUUGAGCAGCUGAACAAACCCUAGGAUGGCUUCCUUCCAGACUUCUUAGGAUUGCGAACAAUGAAGCUCUAUUGUUUAAGCAAGGUAUCGAUGGCUAUUUUCACUUGCCACUGAAAGCACCAGGACAGAGAAUCGUCUUUCUAGGAAUACAGCCACAAAAGCCUUCAUUAUGGUAUAUGCACAUAAAGAAUAUAAAAGUUUCCUUUAUGUUUCUCUUUAAAAUAUAGCUGAAGUCUGCCUCAGGCAAAAAGACAAACAGAAAACAUAAAUGCAUACAUAAUUCAAGAACAAUAAAUAUUUAUUUUAAAAUGAAUAAAUGUUCUGCAGGAUAUUGUAAUAGUUUUCUCAGGGAAUAUAUUUUUCUAAUACUUAUAUCAACUAACAGUAUUUCUGUGGCAUCUCCAGGUCCUCUGUGUUUAAGUCCUCCCUAGAAACUGCAUUUCUCUCCUUUUUCCUGCUACUUUGGAUCUCAAAUGUGCCUAAAAAGAAAUACUUUUAACUUCUCUGGUUUUUCUUUUUUCAAAUAUUAACUUGUAACUUGCAGUUGUAACAUGGUUGUUGCUAGCUAGCUGUCAAGUAUUUGUCCAAAAAUGUGUUCCUAGAAUACCUUCAUCUUACAGUCACUCAAUCCAUAAUAGAGUUUAAACAUUUUUCCAUAAUAUUUCACAGAAUAUUCAUGUUUUUACAUAAAAAACACUUUUAAUAUAUGAACUAUCUGCAACACACAGCAAAAUCCCAGUUAUAUGACAUCAAUAGCCAUAUACUAAAAUACACCUAACAAUAUUCAUAUUAAACUCAAAUUUAAUAUAUGUUAAUAUGUAGGCAUAUUUACUUAUACAUAAAGCUGUAGAUUUCUCUCUAUCCUUCCCCCGUACUUCCCAGAGGUAACCAUUGUAUUGAUGAUGAUGUUGAUGACAGCAACAAUGAUGAUGAUAAUGAUGGUAAUAAAAACCGCAAAUUUGCUGUAUGCCAGGCAGUAUUCUAAGCACUUUACAUACAUUAACUCCUUAAAUGUCCACCGCAGACAUAUGACAUAGAUACUAUUAUUAUCCUUCAUUUUAUAGAUGAGAGGUUGAGAAAAAAAUUGGUUAAGCAGCUUGUCCAAGGCCACACAGCUGGUGUGCCAGGAUUCCAACACAGGCAAUCUGGCCCUGGAGCCCUUUGCCGUAUCCCAUUGCUAUAUGGAUAUUGCUGUGUAUCAUUAUAUACUUUCUCUAAACAUGUAUGCAACCAUAAAAAGCUAUACAUAGGAUUUCUCUCCUUUUUAAAAAGUAUAUAAUCUUAUAACAUUUAUGGGGUCUUUUUCCAGUUAUUUUGCUAUUAUGAAAAAUGUUGCAAUGAAUAGUCUUGAAUAUACAUCCUUGUGCAUUUACUCUCUGGUAAACAUCUAGAAGCCAAAUUUCUGCUUGGUAGAUUACUCAUAUUAACAUUUUUUUUUUAGUUAUUCCAAAAUUGCUCUUCAAAGUAAUUGUACCAAUUUGCAGUUCUGCCAGCACUGUAUAAGUUUUCCAUUUCUCGCUAACUCCAUCAAUUCUUUGUAUCAUUGAGUUCGCUGAUUUUUGCUAAUCUGACUGAUGUGAGGUGGUAUUUCAUUAUUCUCAUUUGCACUCUUCUUUGAUUGCUAGAGAGGUAAGAGCAUCUUUUCAUAUGCUUGUUAUCUAUUUAUGCUUAUUUUUUUCUUGGAUUUUCAUUUUGUCUGAUUUUAAACGAAUUCUAUGACAUUCUGCUGAAUAAAGUGAGUUACAUAGGUUGUAAACACCUUCCCAUGGUAGCUAUUGACCUUCUUUUUGUUGUCAUCUUGAUACAUGGAAGUAUUUAGUUUAAUGUAGUUACAUUCUCAAUACUUUCUUUUCUCAAUAUGGUUUAUGCUUUUAGCAUUAUAAGUAAUAUGGCAGUACUCAGAUGUCAUCAAGAUAUUCUUCUAUAUAUUCUUUUUAAAUUUAGCUUUUCACAUUUAGGCAACUUUGAGUAUGCUAUGAAGUAGUACCCAAUUUUACCGUCUUUCAUAUAAAUACUUGAAUCUAUCUUUUUCUAUAUGGUGAUGUCUCAGCAUCAUUUAAUGAAGACUCUCAUUCUUUGCCCAGUGAUUUGUGAUGUUAUCUCUGUCAUAUUCCACAUUUACAUAUCUAAGUGGUUUUAUUCGUACGCUCUCUAUUCCCUGUGGCAAUAUCACAUUGUUUAGUAUAGUUUUACAUGAUAAUGUAGUAUCAAUAUUCAAAAGGAUAACCACCCUGCUUUUUUCUUUUCCUCCUUCUCUGCCUCCUUCUCCUCCUUCUUCUUUGCAAUUGUCUAGCCUAUUCUUGAAUUUUUAUUCUUUCAUAUGCAUUUAAGAAUCAUCUUGUCAAGUUCUUCGAAAAACCCUACUGAAAUUUUUAUUGAAAUUGUAUUGAAUUUAUAUGUGAAUUUGGGAAAAAUUGUCUUUUUUUUUUUUUUGACGGAGUCUCGCUCUGUCACCCAGGCUGGAGUGCAGUGGUACAAUCUCAGCUCACGGCAAACUCGGCCUUCUAGAUUCACGCCAUUCUCCUGCCUCAGCCUCCCAAGUAGCUGGGACUACAGGCACCCACCACCUGGCCUGGCUAAUUUUUUUUGUAUUUUUAGUAGAGACGGGGUUUCACCAUGUUAGCCAGGAUGCUCUCGAUCUCCUGACGUCGUGAUCCGCCAGCCUCGGCCUCCCAAAGUGCUGGGAUUACAGGCGUGAGCCACAGCGCCCGGCCAAUUUCACAAAUAGAUUUUUUUUCUUACUGUAAAUCUUAGCAAGCUCAGCAUACGAAUUUUUUUUUCCUUAAAUUGAAAGCUUUUACCCUUUCACUUAAAGGCAGCACUUUAUGGCUUCUCUUGGGCAUAUCCAAAUUGCUACCAUCACUACUCGUAUUAGUCCAUUUUCACGCUGCUGAUAAAGACAUACCUGAGACUGAGAAAUUUACCAAAUAAAGAGGUGUACUGGACUUACAGUUCCACAUGGCUGGGGAGGCCUCACAAUCAUGGUGGAAGGCAAGAAGGAGCAAGUCAUGUCUUACAUGGAUGGCAGCUGGCAAAGAGAAAGCUUGUACAGGGAGACUCCCGUUUUGAAAACCAUCAGAUCUUGUGAGACUCAUUCACUAUUACAAGAACAGUGCAGGAAAGAUGCACCCCUGUACUUCAAUCACCUCCCAGCAGGUUCCUCCCACGACAUGUGGGAAUUGUGGGAGUUACAAUUCAAGAUGAGAUUUGGUUGGGGACACAGCCAAACCAUAUCACUACUCUUGUGCUUUGGGGCCAUUAUGAAGUAAAACAAGCAUUAUUUGAACACAAGAACUGCAAUACCACCACAGUAGAUCUGAUAACUGUUGGCUACUAAGUGACUAAGGGGCAGGUGAAGUAUACAGCUUGGAUGCGAUGGACAAAGAGGAAGAUCUACCUCCCAGCUGGGAUGGAGCAGGACGAUGCAAGAUUUCAUCACACUACUCAGAAAGGCAUGCAGUUUAAAGCUCGUAAAUUAUUUCAGGAAUUUUCCAUUUAAUAUUUUCAGGCUGUGGCUGACCGUGAGUAACAAACCCAGGAAAGCGAAACUGCAGAACAGUGGAUGGGAGAAAGGGUGAAUUACUGUAUAUUCAUGAGGGAUAUUAGUCCAUAGUUUCUUUUUUCCCUUUUAACAAAUUUUUGGGUUUUGUAUAUAGUUUGUCUGGUUUUGGUAUCAGGGUAAUACUAGCUUCAUAAAAUGAAUUGGAAAGCGUUUCUUCUGUUUUCCUAAAAAGAUUAUAUGGAAUUAGCAUUCAUUCUUUAAACACUUGGUAGAAAUCUUAAGUAAAACCAUCUGAGCUCGGAGAUUUUUUUGUGUGUGUUAUAAAAUUACAUAUUCAGUUUCCUUAAUAUUUAUAAGAUCAUUUUAAUUAUCUGUGUUUUUCAGUGAAACGGGUCAAUUUUCUGUAUGUUGUCAAAUUAAUAUUUGUAGAAUUGUAUUAGUAUUCUUCAUUAUCCUUUUGAUGUCUGCAGAAUCUGUAAUGGUAUCCCUGUUUUAUUUCUGAUAUUAAUUUGUGCCAUUAUGUCUUUUUUUCUUUGUUGAUCUUGUCAGAAGUUUGUCAAUUUUAUCAAUUUGUUCCAAGAACCAGCUCAUUGAUUUGGUUUCAGUUUCAUUGAUUUCUACUUUUAUCUUUAUUAUUUCCUUCUUUUUCUUGCUUUUGGUAUAUUUUGUGCUUCUUUUUCUAGGUUCUAGAGGUGGAAGCAUACGUUAUUGAUUUGAGACCUUUCCUCUUUUCUAAUGUGAGCAUUUUAGUUACAUUUAGUUCCCUCCUAGGACUACUUUAAUUGGAUUAUUGAGAGGUGUUGAAGUCUCCAACUGUAUUUGUGGAUUUAUUUAUUUUUCCUUUCAGUUCUAUUAGUUUUAGCUUCACAUUAUUUUGCAGCUCUGAUGUUUAAAGGUGCAUGAACAUUUAGGCUCACUAUGUCUCAGUGAAUUGACCCUUUUAUCAUUACGUAAUAUUCCUCUCAGUCUCUGGUCAUUUUCUUUGUGCUGAAAUAUACUUUAUCUGAUAAUAUAAUGACUGUUCCCUGUAGAUUAAUAUUUUCAGGAUGUAUCAUUUUUAUUUUUUUAUUUUCAACCUGCCUGUAAUCAUUAUAUUUGCAGUGAAUUUUUUCUAGACACUGUAUAGUUGAAUCAUUUAAAAAAGUCUGCUCUGGCAAUGUGUCUUUUAAUUGGUGUAUUUAGAUCAUUACAUUUAAUAUAUUUACUGAUAUGUUAGGGCAUAAUAAUUUUUUGUUUUCUGUUUGUGUCUCUGCUUAUUAUUUCUGUUUUCUUUUUCCUGCUUCCUUUGGGUUGUUUGGACAUUUCCUUUAGAAUUAUAUUUCAAUUUAUAUAUAGUUUUUUUUUUAAAAGAGUAUCUCUUCAUAUAGAUUUUUUUAGUGGUUAUAACCAGCUGAUGCUGCUGGUUCGAGAGCCCUUUGGCUGAGAAAGCAGAUAGCUCACCAGCCCGGCAGCCUGGGUCUCCAGGUAGUAUCAGGUCAGGCCAACGACACUGAGACAUUUGUCCACCCUGAGAGGACUCUGAGCACCUGUGGCUGAGGCCAAAGGACCACAGGGCUAAGGAUGGGGAGAGUCCAACUCCAGUCGAUAUGCAUACCUUGGCAAGCUUCUCACUACAGCCCACUGUUCAUGGAGAAGCUGGGCCUUGCAGAUCGACCAGAAACCCCCACGAUAUGCCACUUUCUGCCCCUAUGUCCUGCGUGUCCUGGGCAUUGGCCCUGUCUCCCUUGGCAAACACAGAACACUGUUCCAUCUCAGAGAUUGCUUCACCAGAGAAACAGAUGCAUUUAUGGUACUGUAAGUACUAUAGUAUAUGUGUUGCCAAUUACUGUAAAGUCGUAAGUAUUUAUAAUUCUGGUUCUGAUUUGAUGGGCACUUGAGGUAGCUGUGGGUGGGAGGGUAUGCUUAUUGUCUGAGGAGACUCACAACCAUUUCUCAGGUUUCCCUUGCAGAGUGUGUGCCGUUACCAGUGGGAUAGUGGGUGUGCCAAGGAGAAAAAUGGCCAGUUAGAAAAAAAUCCCAAGACUAGUCUAUGCAGAAUCUCUCGCCUACAGACAGGGCAUUAAUAGCCCAGUGGUGGGUGAGCGGCAGAGGCCAGGACUGGACUCAGACUUUUGCCUCACAAAGCUGUGAGGACUCUGAAGGUCCUGCCCCUGCCUCACACAGCCUCGCCAGGAGUCUGCUGAGCACCUUUGAAACAAGAGCAGGGAAAAGAUGAAGGUCUGGGAAGCCACUGAGCUCACAAUAUUCAUCUACACUGGUCACCUUUGUGUUAGAGAGUGUGUGUAUCUGUAUGACUGAGUACAUGUGUCUAUGUGCAUAGAUAUAUCUGCGCGUGCCUGUCUGUAUGUGCACAUUAUACGUUGAUGUGUACGUAUGUCAGUUCUAUGGCUGUGUACCUGGGUGGAUAUGUGCACACUGGAAUGUGGGUCCCUGUGUGAGGUUGUAACAUUUGCUUGCAUGUGAGGAUGCAUAUCUAUGUGUAAAUGCUCUCAUGUCUUGCAUGUUUAGUGUGUGUGUAUCUGGGCACACAUGAGUGCAUGUGUAGAGAUACGUGUCUGUGUGUAUGCUUGCUCUCCAUGCAUCUGUGUUUUUAUAUGUGUAACUGAGUAUAUUUCUACAUGUGGGGGUGACUGCGUGUUCUUCUUUGAGGAUCUGCAUGAAUGUGUCCUUUUUGCGAGAUUUCUCUUCCCAUUCAUCUUACAUCUCUCUCACUAGUUAAAUGUUCCCCAUCUCUGUGCCUCCUCUAUUCAUUCUCUCUCACCAAAUGAGCUUCUAAGCACCAGUCUCCCUCUGCCAUCAAGAUUGGCUGUUUUCACUGCACAGUUCUCUUCUCACCCCGUACUUGCUUUCUUCCCCUGCCUUUCUCUGCCUGCUUUUGUCACAGUCUCAUUGCUUGCUGACUUGGAGGCUAGGGCUGGUCUUCACUUAGCCUCUCCCUUCCUAAUUUCUAGCCCCAGUGGGCAACCCUGUCUUAGCCCUGGCUGACCUCCACAGUGAAUCAUCAUGUUCCUGCUACUUUCCUGACCCCUAUACUCAGCCUGGAAUUAUUGUAGGAGAUAGCAAGAGCAUUCAGAAGAGUCAGUUGGUUACCAGUGCCUUGGUGUUUACUCUUUUAUGUCUUAGUUCCUUAGCUGGGGGUGGGGUUUGAUAGGGAAGGGGUGGUAUAGCUAGAAUGCAAACUAAGAACUUCUCCAUCUGCUUUCCUUUUUCUUUCGUUGACAAAAUGUCACCUUUUCUACUCCAAACUGACCAAGAAGUUGUAUUUGCCGUUUGUGGCUACUCACGUCCUACUGCCCAGCCAAGGGACCCUAUAACAUCUCAGUCCAAUGAGUUGGUUGAAAAGAAGAGAGGGAGAGAGGUCACUCUCAUUUUCGUAUCACAAUUGCCCUUCUUUUUAGCAAGUGUAUGAACUCACAGUGCUUUUCUAUGAAUAAACCAUGGAUCACAUGAAAAAUCAUUUUUCUUAAAGAAAAAAAAUUCCCUAAACCCAGAGGGGACCAGCAAAUACUUAACAGGAGAUUAGAGAUUUCCUGUGAGUGCAUAUGGUGCGGGGUGACCUGAUUCUGUGAAGCAAAUGUUAUUGUCCUCCUUAAAUUCAUGUGUUGAAUUCUAAUUCUAUGUGAUGGUAUUUGGAG
rnacentral:lncRNA from 1 species